AUCAAUUUGCACAUUGUGUCAUACCAUUACAAUUUCUAAAUGUAGCCUUUUAAAAAGGGCAAAGUAUUGAAUUUCACAUCAAAAUAUCCAGAUUUGAAUUUCUCAGGAAGUCUGAUAGCAAAGCAGAUGCACAAAUGUGUAACAGUAAUACUGAGUUUGUGUCCAGAAGAAGCUCCUAUGCUAAAUUAAAUGUAUUUUCAUUUUUCAAAGGCUCCACUUAACUGUUUUAAUGAAUCUGACUAUAUCCGAAGUCUGUAAAGAGUGUUUAAAAAUGUAGUACUGUUUUCUAAAAAUAUUUUUUUCUCUUAGUCUUAGAUAAGAAUUCACACUUCAGGAGACUUAGACAUAAAACUUUAUGGUCCUGUAUUCUUUACAUUUUUACAGACAGGAUUUUUAAAUUCGUGUUCACAGCCUUAGUAAAAUAAGACUUCAUCCUAAGAGUAUGACAAAAACCUUUUUCCCCCAACUGUGGGACAUUAAUGCAUUUAUUCCUCUUAUAUUUCAGACACAACACAAAGUGCUGUGCAUUGAAAGUCUUACAUGGACUUGAACGUUGUGCUGUUUUUACAAAAUGAAUGUUGUAUGAUAUUGCUGGUUUCUUUUAUUCGUGUUAAUGCAUUUUAGGGCUCUCCAUGUGUCUGAGGCGAAGGAGGGAAAGCUUGUUUCAACACGUGUGGUCAUGGUGCGUUUCACUGAGUCAGAGGCAACUGUGUCCAUCAUAUUGUCAAAAUUAAAAGUUGCCAUGGCAGAUGACACCCUCUGGAAUGAAAUUGUUGAGUCUGAAGGGACAACUGGGUCUGUGUACUGGAAACAAAAUGCCAGAAAAGUUUUUGCCGUCAAGACAUCGACUUUUCGAGAAUUGCACCGGCGCCGUUCAAGCAACAGAAAUGAAGAAGUGAAAAUACUUCGUGAACAAGUGGAAUAACUGCUGGAGGCAUCUCAAGUGCUAGAAGAGGUUACCAGCAAUAUUCAUAAUCUUGUGACCCUGAGCCGGAACCUGUCUCCAGUUUGGCCAGAAAUAAAACAGGCCUUUGUCUGUUUGAUCUGCAGAGCUGUUAUGACUCGCCCCAUGUUUUAGUCCUGCUGUCGGAGCCUGGUGGGAUGUGCAGAGUGUGUUCAGGAGUGGAGGAACAACUCUGAUCAGUGCCUCAAGUGUAGAGAUGACCUGCCAAGCUACACAGAAGUAGCAGGACUCUCAGAAGCACUUAAUUGCCUGAAGUUAAUUGAGUAAAUACCUAAAAUUUUAUGUUAAUGUAUUAUGUUUUUUAUUAUUCGAUUACUUCGUGUUCAAUAUGUUAAAAGUUUUUGGCUAACUACUUGUUUUUGUUUUUUUGUUGAAUCAGUACAGCUACUAAAUUGGUUUAUAUUUCAUCUUGUAUUUUUGUCUGAAUUGUGCUUCCUAUUUUGUUUUGAAGUCAUUCAAACAUAACUCUAGUGUUUAUCCCUUUUAAAGAAAACAGAACACAAUGAAAAAAGGAUGAGCAAUGCCUUGUAGAACUUUUUACGUAGAAAAAUGUUUAUGACGGUUCUGCUGGUGCAGCAGAAACAUAGACUUGAAGAAACUGGCUCUGUGCUGUGAAUAGCUCUGGAUGUUAGAGCCGAGUCUAGAUAGGAUGUUGCACAAGCUGCUGUAAGUGAAGAACUAUUCACACCCUCUCUAUACCACUGAAGAGACAAUUAAGUGUUCACCACCAGUGUGUUGUAACAUUAGAAUAGCUCAUGAUCAAACAGUCAUUGAGAUGGUGCACUAACAAUUACCAAAUUUAAUGGAAAAACAAAAUUUAUUAUUUUACUAAAUGACAGUAUAGUUCUCUCUCCUGACAGUUGCAGAGAAGUCAUGUUUAUUAUGGAGUUCAAAGACAUCCCAUACAGGUAAAAAAACUGCCCAGGUUAAAGUUAUUUAGAAAGGCAAAAAUGUUUUUUAAUAUCUCAAACUUAUUCAAGCUGAACCAUAGGCUGACAUUUCAAUAACUUCACAGCAUUAUUUAAGACAAAGUUUUAUUAAAGUGGAAUGAAAUGUAAAAACUAGUUACAUAAGGCAAUAGCUUAAAGUUUACAAUAGAACAUAACAUAUUUCCAGUUUUUGUACAUAAUUAAGUAAUGUGCCAUUAAGGUAGUGAUGGCGAGAUGAAGCCUCAUGAGGCAUUGAACCACUCAGCCAACUGGUUCGAGAAAAGGUUCAUUUC